UUUGGGUUUGUUGGCUCAGGAACCCAAUCUGCAUGAUCUUGUUUAUAGCCAGCUACAAACAUUUUGCAGCGUUUUACUAAACGUUUGUGAAGUGUUGUCAUAUACAACAUCUCUUAUGAUACUUACAGAAGUCCCGAGGUAGACAGAAGACUUACCUAGUAUACUCUUUUUAUGGACAAGAAAACGGAGAAAGUUUAAAGAGACUUGACCCAGCUUAACAAAAGUAGGAAAUGGGGGACCUUGAAAAUGAUUCCAGGAUUUCUUACUAAGCAAUAUAUGGUCAUUUAAAUACUACCACCGUUAAGGAUUUUACCUUUUUAUUUUAUUUUUUCCUGUGUGAUCUACAGUGAGAGUCUGUUUUGCGUUGGUAUUCAUGGCUUGUGUUGCUGACAGUUCCCUGAAAGAAAGGUCAGGUUGCUUUACCAGACUUGAAAAAGUUUACCUAAAUCAGAAAAUAAAUCUAAUGAAGUUGCUUUACCAGACUUGAAAAAGUUUACCUAAAUCAGAAAAUAAAUCUAAUGAAGCAAGUUUUGCUCAAGAAGGAACUUGAGUAAGGAGGUGGAAUUUAUCUUGGUAGAAGAAAGCAAGUAUCCCUACAUACAACGCAGUUGAGAGAGAAAGCUCGAAAGGUGAUGCCCAGACCUAGAAAAAGGAUCCUUUGAGGAGAACCUCAACUGGCUCUGAGAAAGCAAGCUAUCAUCUUGUGAAAUGCCCUGUGGAAAAGCCCCUGUAGCAAAGGACAGCCAAUAGCCAACAGAAAGCUGAUGCCCUCAGUCCAACAGCCUGCAAGAAACUGAAUUCUGCCAGCAACCAUGUGAGAUUGGAAGCAGAUUCUUCCGUGCAGUCUUGUGAGAGAUUAUGAAGCAAAGGACUCAAGUUGUGCCCAGAUUCCUGACCCACAGAUACCGUGUGAUAAUAAAUGCAUAUUGUCUUAAA